rnacentral:rRNA from 1 species
GUUGAAAAAUUAGCGGAUGACUUGUGGCUGGGGGUGAAAGGCCAAUCAAACCGGGAGAUAGCUGGUUCUCCCCGAAAUCUAUUUAGGUAGAGCCUUGAGGUGACACCUUUGGGGGUAGAGCACUGUUUCGGCUAGGGGUCCAUCCCGGAUUACCAACCCGAUGCAAACUACGAAUACCAAAGAGUGAUACUCAGGAGACACACGGCGGGUGCUAACGUCCGUCGUGGAGAGGGAAACAACCCAGACCGCCAGCUAAGGUCCCCAAGUCUAUAUUAAGUGGGAAACGAAGUGGGAAGGCUUAGACAGCUAGGAUGUUGGCUUAGAAGCAGCCAUCAUUUAAAGAAAGCGUAAUAGCUCACUAGUCGAGUCGGCCUGCGCGGAAGAUGUAACGGGGCUGAAAUAUAGCACCGAAGCUGCGGCAUCAGGCGUAUCACUAAUACGCCUUACGAUUAACAAGCUAGAAUGGCGCGAAGCGUCAUGAAAGGUUGUUCAAGCAACCCGAACGUUGAGUCGGGCAUCUUAGAGUAAGGAUGAUUAGUGAUACGCCUGUUGGGUAGGGGAGCGUUGUGUAAGCGGAAGAAGGUUCAUCGAGAGGUGGGCUGGACGUAUCACAAGUGCGAAUGCUGACAUAAGUAACGAUAAAACGGGUGAAAAACCCGUUCGCCGGAAGACCAAGGGUUCCUGUCCAACGUUAAUCGGGGCAGGGUGAGUCGGCUCCUAAGGCGAGGCUGAAAAGCGUAGUCGAUGGGAAACAGGUUAAUAUUCCUGUACUUGGUAAAGCUGCGAUGUGGGGACGGAGUAGGUUAGGUUAUCGCACUGUUGGAUAUGUGCGUUUAAGUUGGUAGGUGGGAAGUUUAGGCAAAUCCGGACUUCCUUAACACAGAGAGAUGAUGACGAGGCUCUACGGAGCUGAAGUAACUGAUACCACACUUCCAGGAAAAGCCACUAAGCGAAAGGCUUUACUAAACCGUACUGAAAACCGACACAGGUGGUCAGGUAGAGAAUACUCAGGCGCUUGAGAGAACUCGGGUGAAGGAACUAGGCAAAAUAGCACCGUAACUUCGGGAGAAGGUGCGCCGGCGUAGAUUGUAGUCCCUAGCGGGCGAAGGUUGAACCGGUCGAAGAUACCAGCUGGCUGCAACUGUUUAUUAAAAACACAGCACUCUGCAAACACGAAAGUGGACGUAUAGGGUGUGAUGCCUGCCCGGUGCUGGAAGGUUAAUUGAUGGUGUCAUCGCAAGAGAAGCACCUGAUCGAAGCCCCAGUAAACGGCGGCCGUAACUAUAACGGUCCUAAGGUAGCGAAAUUCCUUGUCGGGUAAGUUCCGAC